rnacentral:rRNA from 1 species
GACGAACGCUGGCGGCGUGCUUAACACAUGCAAGUCGAACGGAAAGGCCCUGCUUUUGUGGGGUGCUCGAGUGGCGAACGGGUGAGUAACACGUGAGUAACCUGCCCUUGACUUUGGGAUAACUUCAGGAAACUGGGGCUAAUACCGGAUAGGAGCUCCUGCUGCAUGGUGGGGGUUGGAAAGUUUCGGCGGUUGGGGAUGGACUCGCGGCUGAUCAGCUUGUUGGUGGGGUAGUGGCUUACCAAGGCUUUGACGGGUAGCCGGCCUGAGAGGGUGACCGGCCACAUUGGGACUGAGAUACGGCCCAGACUACUACGGGAGGCAGCAGUGGGGAAUAUUGCACAAUGGGCGGAAGCCUGAUGCAGCAACGCCGCGUGCGGGAUGACGGCCUUCGGGUUGUAAACCGCUUUCGCCUGUGACGAAGCGUGAGUGACGGUAAUGGGUAAAGAAGCACCGGCUAACUACGUG